CGGCAGCUACCAAAAAGGAGUUCAUAUGGGAAUAAGAUGUGUAUCUCAAACUUGCAAGCAGAUGAACUGGUAUCUGUGAACAUGAUCUUCGGUUUCCUGGGUAGCGUGGGGAAUGGCCAAGUAUGUAUGCCAUGCUGAUUCCUCUUAUGCUAGACUCGACUAGGAAAUUGUAGCUUUGAGAACGUUUGGGAAGAGUGAAAUUCAAGAGGUAAUUACGGUUACUUCAGGUCUGGGUGAAAGGGGCCACAUUGUUUCCAUCACCCAGGAUCAACCUUAAUCAGCCAUCUCACAGAUGGGAGGGAUGGAGAGGCGGAGAGAGAUGGGAGUCGGCAAAUCAGGCAGAACAGACCUCAGGAGGCCAAGGGUAAAAAAAAUAAAAUACAGAAGUCCAUUCAACCACUUUGGAAAGCAACCUGGCAAUCUUCUGUUAAAGGUAAAUAUAUGCCCUAGGAUACAGCAUUUCCUUCCCUGGGAGUCUCCUCAAGGAAAUUCUCAGAUAACUGCACAAGAGACUUGAACAAGAUUACUGUGCUACUGCUUAUAAUAAUCACUUAAAUGGAUAUAAUUUAAAUGCCCACGGUGAUGACAAUGAAUAAAUAAAUUCUGGCACACUGCGAGAACAGAGUACUAUACAGCUGUAAAAAUUAAUUACCUGGAUGUACCUGUGUCAACAUAGACUGAGAGCCAAGAUAAUCAUGUGUGUGUGUGUGUGUGUGUGUGCGCGCGUGCGCGCAUUUUAUAGCUUGACUUCUGAUGUUGGUAUUUUAUGCUUUCUUUUUUUUUUCCCCGAUCAGUCCAACUAGAGAUUCAUUGAUUGUAUCAAACUUCUCAAAGGAUGACCUUUUUUAAAAUAAACCUUUUAUUUGGAAUAAUCUUACACGCACAGAAAACUUGCACAGGCAGGAGAAAGUUCUCAUACACCCCUCAUAUUGUUUCAGUUUUCCCUAUUACUAUCUCUGAUUACUGUUAUAAACCUGCCAAGUCUAAGAAACCCACAUUGGUAGGUUACUAUGAACUAAACUGUAGACUUUGUGUUUUACCAGGUUUCUAUCACUGACCUUUGUGUGUUUCAAGGUCCAGUCCAGAUGGCUACUUUGCACUGAGCUGUGCUAGUCUCCUGCGGUCUGACAGUUUUUCAGUAUUUCCUGCUUUUCAUGACCUUGAUGAUCUCAAGGAGUACUGGCCAGGUAUUUUGUAGCAUGUCCCUCAAUUUAGGGUGCACCUGUGAAUUUUCUCAUGAUGAGGGCAGGAUUAUUGGGUUUGGGGAAAGAACGUUACAAAGGAAAAGCGUCCUUCUCAGCUCAUAUUCGGGAAGCCUCUCGAAAGCCAAGUUCCCAGACAUCAGACAAAGGUCAAACUCACUUGCAGAGUUUUCUCUCUCUUUUUUUUUUAAUGUUUAUUUAUUUUUGAGAGAGGAGAGAGUGUGUGUUGGGGAUGGGCAGGGAGAGUAGGAGACAGAGGAUCUGAAGUAGGCUCUGCACCGACAGCAGCAAGCCAAAUGUGGGAACCCACAAACCGUGAGAUCAUGACCUGAGACGAAGGCGGACACUCAACCGACUGAGCCACCCAGGUGCCCCCGCUUGCAGACUUUUCUAAGGGAAGUAGCCUUAGGCCCACGGAGACAGGCUCCUGCCUUUGAAGUUUUGACACAGCCCCAGGAAAGCUCAAGCUGGGUAUUACGAUCACCAGGCUGGCAUUCCACGGCCACCCCUGAAGUCUGAGCUGUGACGUCUGCUGCAGAUGAGCGGUGAAGCAGAAUAGAUUCCCCUGUUCUUUUGGGAAAUGACUCCAACUUCAUGGUUCUGCCAGAAAUGAUCCAUCACAGCACGGAACGACCACCUGACCCCAAGCCAACCAAUCAUUCUUGCCUGGGAUUCCUUCCCAUGGAGCUGGUAUGGGGAAGCCCUCUUCCCUCUUUGCUCACCACCGUAAGCCUAGAAGCCUGGGCUACAUGUGGCCGUGACUCCAGGCCCGCGAGGACGGCCCACCUGAGAGAACAGAGGUAAGAGGGAGGGAUCUGAAUCCCUGGACCCGGAGGCCUAGACGGCUAGCUUUUCUCCGGCUCCUAGCAUUUCUUCACCGCGAGCCAUAAACUUCUUCUUGCCACUUACGGUAGUUUUAAUUAGGUCUGUGCACUCCCAGCCCAAAGGGCCCUGUCCUCAGCAUAUCUAUGCGGACUGAUGCAACGAAGCCGCUCACAACACAGCUGAUGAGGCCAAAGCAUGGAAAUACAGUGCAGGGAAGAACACAUCCAAAUCAAGUAGGAUU